rnacentral:rRNA from 1 species
GUAUAUUAAGUUGUUGCGGUUAAAAGCUCGUAGUUGGAUUUCUGUCGAAGACGGUCGGUCCGCUCUAUGAGCGUGUAUCUGAUUCGGCUUUGGCAUCCUCGUGGGGAACGUAACUGUGCUUGAUUGCAUGGUGCGGAAUUCACGACUUUUACUUUGAGGAAAUUAGAGUGUUCACGGCAGGCAAGCGCCUUGAAUAUAUUAGCAUGGAAUAAUAAUAUAGGACUUUGGUUCUAUUUUGUUGGUUUCUAGGACUAGAGUAAUGAUUAAUAGGGAUAAUUGGGGGCAUUUGUAUUAACGCGUCAGAGGUGGAAUUCUUGGAUUGCGUUACGACAAACUACUGCGAAAGCAUUUG